CUGCAACCCCUGUUUGCUGUGAGGGAGCAUGUAAUCUGCCUCUUGGGUGAGGGAAGACCAUGAUUAUGGUCACCAAACCAGUAAUAGCUUAUUCAGUGACCACAAGGUUGACCCUACCAGAAAACCAGGGAGCAUGACCAGUGCCCACAGGACCAUAUGAAAAUUGGUGUCAUAGCAUGGUUCCUGCAGUGUGUGGGGAGGCUGGGCACAACAAAUGCAGUCCACUACAAGCAUCAAACAAGCUCCGACACCUCAUAUCACACAGUCACCACACAUACAUUACACAGUGCCACAACACAUAGCACAUAUAACCACACCAAACACAGCAGUCACCCACAUGUCACACACAGCCACAGCACACAAACCCACCACACAUAGCCACUUACACAUUACACAGAGCCACAAUAUA